GAUGAACGCUGGCGGCGUGCCUAAUACAUGCAAGUCGAACGAGCGGCGGACGGGUGAGUAGUGUCUGGGAAACUGCCUGAUGGAGGGGGAUAACUACGGGAAACGGUAGCUAAUACCGCAUACCAUCAGAUGUGCUCAGAUGGGAUUAGCUAGUGGGUGGGGUAACGGCUCACCUGGGCGACGAUGCCUAGCUGGUCUGAGAGGAUGACCGGCCACACUGGGACUGAGACACGGUCCAGACUCCUACGGGAGGCAGCAGUGGGGAAUAUUGCGCAAUGGGCGCAAGCCUGAUGCAGCAAUGCCGCGUGUAUGAAGAAGGCCUUCGGGUUGUAAAGUACUUUCAGCGGGGAGGCGUUACCCGCAGAAGAAGCACCGGCUAACUCCGUGCCAGCAGCCGCGGUAAUAC
rnacentral:rRNA from 1 species